AGUGAACGCUGGCGGUAGGCCUAACACAUGCAAGUCGAACGGCAGCACAGUAAGAGCUUGCUCUUACGGGUGGCGAGUGGCGGACGGGUGAGGAAUACAUCGGAAUCUACUUUUUCGUGGGGGAUAACGUAGGGAAACUUACGCUAAUACCGCAUACGACCUACGGGUGAAAGCAGGGGAUCUUCGGACCUUGCGCGAUUGAAUGAGCCGAUGUCGGAUUAGCUAGUUGGCGGGGAAAAGGCCCACCAAGGCGACGAUCCGUAGCUGGUCUGAGAGGAUGAUCACCCCCCUGGAACUGGAGACCCGUUCCGACCUCCACGGGGGGGCGGCGGUGGGAAGUUUUGACCAUUGGGCGCAAGCCUGAUCCGGCCAUCCCGCUUGGGUGAAGAAGGCCUUCGGGUUGUAAGGCCCUUUUGUUGGGAAAAAAAAGCGGCGGGUUAAUACCCCGCUGUUCUGCCGGACCCAAAGAAAUAGCACCGGCUAACUUCGUG
rnacentral:rRNA from 1 species